UACGAAGGGGCUAGCGUUGCUCGGAAUCACUGGGCGUAAAGCGCACGUAGGCGGAUUGCUAAGUCAGGGGUGAAAUCCUGGAGCUCAACUCCAGAACUGCCUUUGAUACUGGCGAUCUCGAGUCCGGGAGAGGUGAGUGGAACUGCGAGUGUAGAGGUGAAAUUCGUAGAUAUUCGCAAGAACACCAGUGGCGAAGGCGGCUCACUGGCCCGGUACUGACGCUGAGGUGCGAAAGCGUGGGGAGCA
rnacentral:rRNA from 1 species